rnacentral:rRNA from 1 species
GACGAACGCUGGCGGCGUGCUUAACACAUGCAAGUCGAACGGAAAGGCCUUUUCGGCGGUACUCGAGUGGCGAACGGGUGAGUAACACGUGGGUGAUCUGCCCUGCACUCUGGGAUAAGCCUGGGAAACUGGGUCUAAUACCGGAUAGGACCGCACUUUAGUGUGUGUGGUGGAAAGUUUUUUCGGUGUAGGAUGAGCCCGCGGCCUAUCAGCUUGUUGGUGGGGUAAUGGCCUACCAAGGCGGCGACGGGUAGCCGGACUGAGAGGUUGGUCGGCCACAUUGGGACUGAGAUACGGCCCAGACGCCUACGGGAGGCAGCAGUGGGGAAGAUUGCACAAUGGGCGCAAGCCUGAUGCAGAGACGCCGCGUGGGGGAUGACGGCCUUCGGGUUGUAAACUCCUUUCGCCAGGGACGAAGCGUUUUGUGACGGUACCUGGAGAAGAAGCACCGGCUAACUACGUG